UGUGUAAACGGAUCGGGGGUGUAGAAAUCAUGGCUCGAUUGGGCCAUGAAGCUUGUGGGAAAAAAAGCCCAAAAUCUUCAGAAUAUCCAAGCACAUGUUUGAUGCUCAUGAGCUUCAUCCAGGAAUUUCGAGUCAGGUCACAUAACACCCCGCAAACGCCUUUAGACCUGUUUUGCCGUCGUCUUCCCUACGCUACUCUUAGGACCAAACUUCACACGGGUUUAAUCACAAUGAGCAAGAAACGAUGAAGACAACAAUAAACGUAUUCCCAUCCAAGUGAAAAAGAAAUCACCGUCGGCACCAGAUUGGGUUGUAUACACGGGCGAUCGAGAGAUUCGACGAGCAAUUCAACUUCGCUUCUCCGAUGCGCUUCUGCUUGCGAUUGUCUUCGUUCUUCAAUGCCUUGUCCGUUCGUUCUGACGUGGCUUCCAGAGAGGGAUAUGCUCCAUUGUGUUGAAGAUGAAGGAUAGAUCGUCGAAAUAUGAUGAUGGAUGAAGAAGAUUUUUCUUUUUCUUUCGAACAAGUUGUUGGAAGGAUAUUGAGACCUCUAUUGUGGAGGUGGAACAACUUUACCCUAUUCCUCCGUAACAGCUUCUGGGGCUGUCCACUUGGCAGCGUGAACUGUUGGAACAGGCGGUGGAGUUGCAUCAGUCCAUGGUGGCUAAAUGGCGGUAAGCCACUGACCAUCGGAUGGAAUAACCGCAUUGAAGUCGGCGAAGGGUGAAAUCUGGAACAGGUACUUCAUCCUCCUCUCUCCUUGGCCUCUUCUGGUUUUCUAUAGAAGAAAAGAUCCAUUAAGCUCGCCAUAUUUUACAAGGGCUAUUGUGUUUUGGCUUAACAAAGCCAUUAUCUUCAUUGGAAGAGAUAGUGCUUGUAUUAACAGAAAAUUCAAGACUCUUCCAUUUAGUUGCUAACUUCAUCUCCUCAGGUUUCUGCUUGUGGCAACAACAGUAUAUAAACAUUCAAUUAAACUGGCCUUUUCUAUCCGUGAAUAAUUCAUAAAUGAAUAUGCUGGUUCUUAUACAAGUUCUGUUAGAAGGUUUGAUUGAGGCGGUUUAGUUUGAAGGGCGGUUUCCGGUUCGGUUUAUGAGAGCGGCGGAAGCGUGUUUCGGUUCAGGAUUGAAGUUAGGAGUUGUUAUGGAUUUGUUGUUGGUUUAUUGAUGUUCUGAAUUUGCAAACAGGCUUGUGGAAUGUUCUAUCAUGGAGCUUACUUAGGGAUCAUUGGCUUCUUUCUCAAACUGCAUUUUUGUUACCGGUGCGCUCAUGGUGGCUGCGUUUGUAGCUUGCAGCUUUUGAUGUUGCUGUUUGGAAGUUUAUGCGGUGUGCUGUUAUGCUACUGGUAUGCUGUUAUGCUCGUUGCGUUUUCGGUUUUGCAUUAUGGCGUUUAGUACACUGGCUUAUGCGACUUUGGCUAUAGUUUGUGAAUGCUUGGAUUACUUUAAGUUUCCUUUGGAACUGUUGUAAUGUCACGCAUAAUUUUGGAAGUUUAAAAUGUAUUUUGUAUUAGAAAUUGAUUAUGAAAAACUUGGUUUUGUUAAAGAUGAAUUAGUUUUGGUUA